rnacentral:rRNA from 1 species
AUGGUUGUCGUCAGCUCGUGUCGUGAGAUGUUGGGUUAAGUCCCGCAACGAGCGCAACCCUUGUGUUUAGUUGCAAACAGGUCAAGCUGUGCACUCUAGACAGACUGCCGUGGACAACACGGAGGAAGGUGGGGAUGACGUCAAAUCAUCAUGCCCCUUAUGAUCUGGGCUACACACGUGCUACAAUGGCCGGUACAACGGGCAGCGAAGGAGCGAUCCGGAGCGAAUCCUAAAAAGCCGGUCCCAGUUCGGAUUGCAGGCUGAAGCUCGCCUACAUGAAGUUGGAGUUGCUAGUAAUCGCGAAUCAGAAUGUCGCGGUGAAUGCGUUCCCGGGUCUU